rnacentral:rRNA from 1 species
CUAGUGAUUCCUACGGGAGGCAGCAGCAGGGAAUAUUGGUCAACGGACGCAAGUCUGAACCAGCCAUGCCGCGUGCAGGAAGACAGCCUUCUGGGUUGUAAACUGCUUUUAUCAGGGAAGAAAAAGCUCUUGCGAGAGCAAUUGCCGGUACCAUAUGAAUAAGCACCGGCUAACUCCGUGCCAGCAGCCGCGGUAAUACGGAGGGUGCAAGCGUUGUCCGGAUUUAUUGGGUUUAAAGGGUACGUAGGCGGAUUUUUAAGUCCGUGGUGAAAGCCCAUCGCUUAACGAUGGAACUGCCAUGGAUACUGGAAAUCUUGAAUUCAGUUGAGGUAAGCGGAAUUUAUGAUGUAGCGGUGAAAUGCAUAGAUAUCAUAAAGAACACCUAUUGCGAAGGCAGCUUACUGGACUUGGAUUGACGCUAAGGUACGAAAGUGUGGGGAUCAAACAGGAUUAGAUACCCUGGUAGUCCACACUGUAAACGAUGAUUACUCGAUGUUGGCGAUACACAGUCAGCGUCUUAGCAAAAGCGGUAAGUAAUCCACCUGGGGAGUACGCUGGCAAGCAGUGAAACUCAAAGGAAUUGACGGG